ACCGCACGCCGGAAGACCAAGGGUUCCUGUCCAACGUUAAUCGGGGCAGGGUGAGUCGACCCCUAAGGCGAGGCCGAAAGGCGUAGUCGAUGGGAAACAGGUUAAUAUUCCUGUACUUGGUGUUACUGCGAAGGGGGGACGGAGAAGGCUAGGUUAUCCGGGCGACGGUUGUCCCGGUUUAAGCGUGUAGGUGGAUGUUUUUGGUAAAUCCGGAACAUCAUUAACACUGAGGCGUGAUGACGAGUCACUACGGUGAUGAAGUGACCGAUGCCAAGCUUCCAGGAAAAGCCUCUAAGCUCCAGGUAACACGAAAUCGUACCCCAAACCGACACAGGUGGUCAGGUAGAGAAUACCAAGGCGCUUGAGAGAACUCGGGUGAAGGAACUAGGCAAAAUGGUGCCGUAACUUCGGGAGAAGGCACGCUGGCGUUGGUGAAGGGACUUGCUCCCGGAGCUGAUACCAGUCGCAGAUACCAGCUGGCUGCAACUGUUUAAUAAAAACACAGCACUGUGCAAACACGAAAGUGGACGUAUACGGUGUGACGCCUGCCCGGUGCCGGAAGGUUAAUUGAUGGGGUCAGCCGCAAGGCGAAGCUCUUGAUCGAAGCCCCGGUAAACGGCGGCCGUAACUAUAACGGUCCUAAGGUAGCGAAAUUCCUUGUCGGGUAAGUUCCGACCUGCACGAAUGGCGUAAUGAUGGCCAGGCUGUCUCCACCCGAGACUCAGUGAAAUUGAACUCGCUGUGAAGAUGCAGUGUACCCGCGGCAAGACGGAAAGACCCCGUGAACCUUUACUAUAGCUUGACACUGAACCUUGAGCCUUGAUGUGUAGGAUAGGUGGGAGGCUUUGAAGUGUGGACGCCAGUCUGCAUGGAGCCAACCUUGAAAUACCACCCUUUAAUGUUUGAUGUUCUAACGUGGGCCCCUAAUCGGGGUUGCGGACAGUGUCUGGUGGGUAGUUUGACUGGGGCGGUCUCCUCCCAAAGAGUAACGGAGGAGCACGAAGGUUAGCUAAUCCUGGUCGGACAUCAGGAGGUUAGUGCAAAGGCAUAAGCUAGCUUGACUGCGAGAGUGACGGCUCGAGCAGGUGCGAAAGCAGGUCUUAGUGAUCCGGUGGUUCUGAAUGGAAGGGCCAUCGCUCAACGGAUAAAAGGUACUCCGGGGAUAACAGGCUGAUACCGCCCAAGAGUUCAUAUCGACGGCGGUGUUUGGCACCUCGAUGUCGGCUCAUCACAUCCUGGGGCUGAAGUAGGUCCCAAGGGUACGGCUGUUCGCCGUUUAAAGUGGUACGCGAGCUGGGUUUAGAACGUCGUGAGACAGUUCGGUCCCUAUCUGCCGUGGGCGUUGGAAGAUUGAGGGGGGUUGCUCCUAGUACGAGAGGACCGGAGUGAACGCACCACUGGUGUUCGGGUUGUGAUGCCAAUCGCAUUGCCCGGUAGCUAAGUGCGGAAGAGAUAACCGCUGAAAGCAUCUAAGCGGGAAACUUGCCCCGAGAUGAGUCUUCCCUGGGACUUCGAGUCCCCUGAAGGGCCGUUGAAGACGACGACGUAGAUAGGCUGGGUGUGUAAGCGUAGCGAUACGUUGAGCUAACCAGUACUAAUGACCCGAGAGGCUUAACCUU
rnacentral:rRNA from 1 species